rnacentral:rRNA from 1 species
UAGUCCACGCCGUAAACGAUGAAUACUAGGUGUAGGGGUUGUCAUGACCUCUGUGCCGCCGCUAACGCAUUAAGUAUUCCGCCUGGGGAGUACGGUCGCAAGAUUAAAACUCAAAGGAAUUGACGGGGGCCCGCACAAGCAGCGGAGCAUGUGGUUUAAUUCGAAGCAACGCGAAGAACCUUACCUAGACUUGACAUCUCCUGCAUUACUCUUAAUCGAGGAAGUCCCUUCGGGGACAAGAUGACAGGUGGUGCAUGGUUGUCGUCAGCUCGUGUCGUGAGAUGUUGGGUUAAGUCCCGCAACGAGCGCAACCCUUAUUGUUAGUUGCCAUCAUUAAGUUGGGCACUCUAGCGAGACUGCCCGGGUUAACCGGGAGGAAGGUGGGGAUGACGUCAAAUCAUCAUGCCCCUUAUGUCUAGGGCUACACACGUGCUACAAUGGUCGGUACAAUAAGACGCAAGCCCGCGAGGGGGAGCAAAACUAGAAAAACCGAUCUCAGUUCGGAUUGUAGGCUGAAACUCGCCUACAUGAAGCUGGAGUUGCUAGUAAUCGCGAAUCAGCAUGUCGCGGUGAAUACGUUCCCGGGCCUUGUACACACCGCCCCGUCACACCAUGAGAGUUGGCAAUACCCAAAGGUACGUGAUCUAACCCGCAAGGGAGGAAGCGUCCUAAGGUAGGGUCAGCGAUUGGGGUGAAGUCGUAACAAGGUAGCCGUAGGAGAACC